rnacentral:rRNA from 1 species
GACAGAGGGUGCAAACGUUGUUCGGAAUCACUGGGCGUAAAGCGCGUGUAGGCGGCUUAGCAGGUCGGAUGUGAAAUCCCAGGGCUCAACCCUGGAAGUGCAUUCGAAACCGCUUCGCUAGAGUUCUGGAGAGGAAGGUGGAAUGCUUGGUGUAGAGGUGAAAUUCGUAGAUAUCGAGAGGAACACCGGUGGCGAAGGCGGCCAACUG